rnacentral:lncRNA from 1 species
CGCGAGCUGCAGCUUCGCUACGGCGGGAGCUGUGGCCUCCUCUACCUGCAGCUCGGGCGCAGGCGGACCUUGGUCGUGUCCACUGCCGCGGCGGCAGCGGACCUGUUCAGGAACCACGACCUCGCCUUCGCCUCCCGCCCGCACAGCGUGUCAGGUGACAAGAUGAUGUACGGCUGCAACAACGUGUCCUUCGCGCCAUAUGGCGGGAACUGGCGCCGGGGCAAGAAGAUCGCGGUGGUCCACCUCCUCUCCCUGCGCCGCGUGGAGUCGUUCGCGCCCGUGCGGGCCGCCGAGGUGGCAGCGCUCGUCGCACAUACCCGCCGUGCUGCGGAGGCGGGGGAGGCUGUGGAGCUGAGGGAGCUCCUGUAUGGCUACACCAACGCGGUGGUCACCCGCGCGGCCACCGGUGCCGCCGGGGCGACAGCAGAGAGGCUGAAACAGCUGCUGGGGAACUCCGCGGCGCUGAUGGUGGGCUUCCAACCGGAGGAUGUGCUGCCGGACGUGCCGGCGAGGUUUGUGAGGUGGGCGACAGGCCUCGAUAAGAAGCUCGAUGACAUGGCCAAGGCGUGGGACAAGUUUCUGUCCGAGAUAGUGGCUGCGCACAAGGAGAAGGGGGCCGGCGGCGGCGGUGCAGGGGAGCAGGAUGGGGACUUCUUGGACGUCUUGCUGCGGCUUAGGGAAGAAGACACCGAUGGGGUCGAGCUCACAGACGAUCGCAUCAAAGGCACCGUCGAGGUCAUCUUCACAGAAACGCUCUUUUAAUUUUGUAGACAAAUGUCUGCUAAUCUUGUUCUCUCCUGAUCCCUUCCCUGUUCGAUUCUUAACUUGCCUCUGCAGGACAUGAUAGGCGGCGGAACUGAAACAACCAUCCAGACGCUGGAAUGGACCAUGGCAGAGCUCAUCGCCAACCCACGGGUCACGGCCAAACUCAAGAACGAGAUCACGCGAGUCGUCACCGCUGAUCAGCCGACCAUCUCGGAGUCGGAUCUGAACAGAAUGGAAUACCUGAAAGCAGUUUUCAAAGAGGUGCUCCGGCUCCACGCGCCGUUGCCGCUCCUCGUGCCGCACGAAUCGACGGCACCCGCGGUCGUGCAGGGCUACGAGAUCCCCGCCAAGACCGGGCUCUACAUCAACGUGUGGGCGAUCGGGAGGGACCCGGCGGCGUGGGACGCGCCGGAGGAGUUCCGACCGGAGCGGUUCGUGGGCAGCAGCUCCCCGGUGGACUUUAGAGGGAACGACUACCAGUUCAUCCCGUUCGGUGCCGGUAGGAGGAUCUGCCCCGGUAUCAACUUCGCGCUUCCGGUCUUAGAGCUCGCAGUCGCCAGCCUCAUGCGCCAUUUUGACUGGGAGCUCCCCGCUGGCAUGCAAUUGACGGACCUCGACAUGAGCGAGACGCCGGGGCUGAUGACGCCGCGGCGGGUUCCCCUUGUCGUGGUCCCCAGGACGGUGCCUCAGCCAGCACUGCCGUAGGAUCACGGUCGACCUCGGCCAGUGGGCCUUGUUUGGAAAAGCCAGUUCUGUAGCUACCUAAAAUCCUUGUAAACAGUUGCUCAAAAAAAAAUCCUUGUAAAUACGCAAACCCCCCCCCCCCCCCCCUUUUUUUUACAAGGCUAAGUACUCUCUCUAUCCCAUUAAAAAUAUUAUUUUUGACUUUCAAACUUUUUGUUUGAUCAUUUGUCUUAUUUAAAUUUUUUAUAUAAAUAUUAUUUAUUUUAUUAUGAGUUGUUUUAUUAACAAGAAUAAUUUAACAAUAAUUUGUUUAUUUUACUAUUCAUAUAAAAAAUUAAAUAAGACGAACGAUUAAACAAUAAAAAGUUAAAAGUUAAAAAUAACAUUUUCAAUGAAAUAGAGGGACUACGUUGGAAGAGCGGUCAAUUCUAAGCCUACUCUGCCACAUUUUCACCAGAAAGAAAUAAACUUCUUGCUGGCACGGCACAGUGUCGAACUGUGUCGGACGACCUGUGUGGCUGCUUGAAAAAAAUGUGUGUGACAAAAAAAAAUAGUUCACAACUGCUUAUGAAAAUACUUAUGAAGCUGUGUCAAACAAAAUCUAAUAUUGAACAUUCCAUUAACACCAAAAUGGAGAUGACAUUGCAGAAAAGGCCUAAAGAUGCAAAGUUGUAUUGUCAGGUGGGUUCAAAUGCACCUUUAUGCAUGCAUCAUACAUCCCAGGAAGAAAUGAAUUAAGCCGAAGAGAGAUAAAUAAGUAUAUCGAUCAUGUACAUAGUCACUCGAUCAAUUCCAUAUUAUAGAUCAAAAAAGCCAAAAUCGAGUUAUAAUUUAGAUUUAGAACAGAGGAAGUAGAAGGCAAGAUAAUACUACAAUACUAUGUAAAUGGAAACUAACCAGAAGCACCAAAGAUUAUGUAAAGUUGUAUAUGCAUGGCUACAUUACUAUCACAAAAUAGAAAUAGCAUAAACACACACAGGGCCAAAUGAUGUUGUCGCCUCAUAAAAAGAUCAAUUAUUAUAUGACAAAAAUAUUUUGUUAUAUACAAUAUAUCAGAUGUGAAUCUUAGUGAAUUUGAUUGUUCAUUUUAUUUUUUACAAAUUUUAUCUUGUUUUAUACUUUUACCAUAGUGUUACACACUACUGAUCGCCACAAUCCAUUGAUCUAAACACUUUAAUUAUUAUAAUAUGUAAUCCUAAUUAUAAUAACUAGUCCAUCAACCGUGCUGUCGCACGGGCUAAAAUUUUGUAUAUUGUUAAGAGAUAUACAAAUGUAUGAUUUUUCUUUUUGUUAUUUUCUAUAAAAAUAGGCAUAACAGGUACUUCAUAGUCUAUAUUCAAUUACCAUAAAUUUAUUCAUCGCCUUUUUUUUGUAAGGGACUGAUUUACAUGUUUUCAUCCAUAUUCAUAUUUUUAAUUUCCAUGACACCUCUGUUGAUUUUAAAUAUGAAUUAUUUUGAAAUUUCGUCAUUACUAUGGUGGCCUUGCCGCUGUCGUCUUGUGGCCCUUUUCGCUUUAACUUAUUUGCUAAAUUUGCUAUUCAAGCCUUGUUCAGUUUUCAAACUAGGAAAUUUUCACUUGUUACAUCGAAUGUUUGAAUAUAUACAUAGAGUAUUAAAUAUAGAUAAAAAAAUAAAAUAAUUACAUAGUUUAGUUGGAAAUUACGAGACGAAUUAUUUAAGCCUAGUUAUUUUAUAAUUAGUCUUAAGUGCUACAAUAAUUUACUUGUGCUAAUGAUAAAUUAAUUAGACUUAAUAAAUUCAUCUCGUAGUUUCUAGCCGAGUUAUAUAAUUAGUUUUAUUAUCAUUAUCCAAACACCCCUUCUAUUUUUUUUAGCUUCAAUUUCAUAAAGGACGCAGUAAAGCUAAAAUUAUUUUAAAAAACGUUUGGUAAACAACUUUUGGGGAAAGAUAAUGGAGAUUGGAGAGAGUGCUGGAAGAACCUAGUAUUUUUCAGCUUCACCAUGGUUCUUGCGUUGUGAGACAAGCUGAAAAACAGUUUUUUUCAUCCUGAUCUGUUUGUAGGAGAAACUGAAAAACCACUUUAUAAUAUUGCGGUGAAAUUCCUGCCAAAUUGGUCAUAAACAACUUACAGUUUAAAUGAAAAUAGAGUAUGAUUUAUAAAUCCAUAGUCCGAUCGUGGAUGGCUUCGUGAAUUUGAAUUGAGCUAAAAAAUGUCUCUGUCGUCCUUUCGCCGCAGCAAUAGACUUUUCAAUGAAUCUGAUCGACUUUUGCCGUCUUUUGUUAAGAAAAAAAAAAGAAACUAUCGUUGUCUGUGUGUAUACAAUCGUUUUUCACCACCGCUAAAGCCGAGCAAAAGCCAAUCAUUUCUCCGCAGCAAUAGACUGGUCAUCAGAGCAGAAAAAAUGUCUCCUUACCUGCUGCUUGCCGCCGCCGCGCUUAUCGCCUUCCUCUACAUCAUCAAGAACCGCAGGAGCAGCAAGCUCCCGCCGUCCCCGCCGUCGCUACCGCUGAUCGGCCACCUUCACCUCAUCGGCCGCCUCGCGCACCGAUCCUUGCACGAGCUGCAGCUUCGCUAUGGCGGCGGCGGCGGUCUCCUCUUCCUGCAACUCGGGCGCAGGCGGACCUUGGUCGUGUCCACUGCCGCGGCGGCAGCGGACCUGUUCAGGAACCACGACCUCGCCUUCGCCUCGCGCGCGCGCAGCGUGGGAGGGGAUAAGAUGACGUAUGGCUGCAGCAACGUGUCGUUCGCGCCGUACGGCGAGAACUGGCGCCUGGGCAAGAAGAUCGCGGUGGUCCACCUCCUCUCCCCGCGGCGCGUGGAGUCGUUCGCGCCCGUGCGGGCCGCCGAGGUAGCCGCGCUCGUCGCGUGGACACGCUGCGCCGCGGAGGCACGGGAGGCCGUGGAGAUGAGGGAGCUCCUGUACGGGUACACCAACGCGGUGGUCACCCGCGCGGCCACCGGUGCCGCCGGAGUAACAGCAGACAAGAUGAAACAGCUGAUGGGGAACGCCGAGGCGCUGAUGGCGGGCUUCCAACCUGAGGACGUGCUGCCGGACGCGCCGGCGAGGUUUGUGAGAUGGGCGACGGGCCUCGAUAAGAAGCUCGACGACAUGGGCGAGGCAUGGGACAAGUUCCUGUCCGAGAUAGUGGCCGCGCACAAGAAGGGGGACGACGGUGCAGGGGAGGACGAUGAGGACUUCUUGGACGUCUUGCUUCGGCUGAGGGAAGAAGGUACCGGCGGGCUCGAGCUCACAGACGAUCGCAUCAAAGCUAUCAUCAAGGUUAUCUUUGCACAGAUGCUCUUUUAGUUUUCCAAGAAAAGUUUAUUAGAGAUAUUGGUCCUCUGAUCCGUGCUCAAUUCUUGCGUCUGCAGGAUAUGAUAUUCGCCGCAACUGAAACAUCAUCUCAAACGCUAGAAUGGACCAUGGCCGAACUCAUGGCCAACCCGCGGGUGAUGAGCAAGCUCCAGGACGAGAUAGCGCGAGUCGUCAGCGCCGAUCAGACGACCAUUGCUGAACCGGACCUGAGCAAAAUGGAGUACCUGAAGGCAGUGUUCAAAGAGGUGCUUCGGCUCCACGCACCAGCGCCGCUCCUCGUCCCGCACGAAUCAACGACGCCAGCGGUCGUGCAGGGCUACGAGAUCCCGGCCAAGACGGCGCUCUUCGUCAACGUGUGGGCCAUCGGGCGGGACCCUGCUGUGUGGGACACAGCGGACGUGUUCCGCCCGGAGCGGUUCAUGGCCGGCAGCCCCUCCGUGGACUUUAGAGGGACCGACUACCAGCUCAUCCCGUUCGGCGCCGGUCGGAGGAUCUGCCCGGGCAUCAGCUUCGCGCUGCCGGUCUUGGAGCUCGCGCUCGUCAGCCUCCUGCAUCACUUCGAAUGGGAGCUCCCCGCCGGCAUGCGUCCGGCGGACCUCGACAUGGGCGAGGCACCGGGGCUGACGACGCCCCGGCAGGUACCCCUUGUCCUAGUCCCCAAGUGCAAGACGCUCGUUCAGGCGGCACUACAGUAGCACAAGGGAUUUGGUGUGCCUCCAUUGUUACCGUGAACUAGGCUGGACAGUUUGGUCUUUCACAUUUAGUCAUGGGGCAUUGAUGAUAAAAUUGGCCUACGGCAUCAUCUCAAUUUAUAUUAUGUAAUAGAAUGUAUAUAUACUAAAAGAUACUCACGUAUUGCUACGGGGACUGCAAAUAAUUUGAAAUGAAAUUAAGUGAAGGUGAUACAGAUAAACUUGCAAUAAGAUAUUGAAAGUUGGAUGACAUGAUUAUUAGUAGGGUGAAAUGAAAGUUGCAAUAAGAUACUGAAAAGGAGAACAUAACGGAAUCAUAGUCAUUCCAAAAGGUCAACAAAAAACAUCUAGAGGACAGUACAGUAUGAGCCUCAAAUGAGAGCAUCCAUCAAUUCUCUCGCCCUUCCUCUGGCCCACGAUAAUUUCCAAUCUUCAAUCUUCAUUGUCGUCGAAUUGGUUGUAGAUGUCGUCACUGGUCAGCACUUCAGUAGUCUUGUAACAACCUAUAUCAUAAUAUUCACCGCCUCGAGCAAUGUUUCCAGAUCUUCUUUAGAAUAAAGGCUUGCCCAAUAUUUCACAAGUGCACAGGUAUGGCAGAUUAUUUCAUCAGGGUUUGUAAUCAACUUAUUUUCAAAACAAGCUCUAUUUCUCGUUUUCCAAGUGCCCCAACAAAUCGCGGCCACCCCAAGAGUAUAAAAGUCUUGUCCAUUUGAGAAGCAAUCAGAUAUCCAACUCCAGUACUGAACCAAACUGCACGGUCUAUUUGUAGCUCCAAACCUCCAAUGCAGUAUGCUAUGCUAGCUGUGUCGCAAUAAAAAAUGAGAUGAGUUGUAUUUUCAUCCUGCUCACAAAAUUAACAAGUACCAUUUCCACCCCACUUCCUCCAAAUAAAGUUGUCUUUGGCUAGUAUUGCAUUGUUUUGUAACCACAUACCCUUUCCAAAUGUUUUUAUGUUAUGGACCAGCAUCAUCCUGGGUGAGGGCAUUGUUCUUUCCAAAUUAUCACAUCAUCAUCCUCGUGCAGCUGAAAUUUUCAAACAACGUUGUUUUAUAUAUUGCCAUUGUGAUCCAAGAUCAUCCUGUAGCCAUCACAGAGUUGGAAGACAGUAGGGAAUUCUAUAUAGAGAGGUUCUCGAGAGAGAAAAAAAAUCAAGGAUCUUUGACCCAUUCUUGCAAAUAUUUUUCUGCCUUACAGAAAUGUCUCUUACUUUGAGCAGAUCUGUCCAAACUGGAGAGUCAUUCUACUGAUGUGUUACAGUCAUCAUUCAUCAGAGCAGAAAAAAUGUCUCCUUACCUGCUCGCCGCCGGCGCGCUUAUCGUCUUCCUCUAUGUCAUCAAGAACCGCAGGAGCAGCAAGCUCCCACCGUCCCCGCCGUCGCUACCGCUGAUCGGCCACCUUCACCUCAUCGGCCGCCUCGCGCACCGAUCCUUGCACGAGCUGCAGCUUCGCUAUGGCGACGGCGGCAGCGGUCUCCUCUUCCUGCAACUUGGCCGCAGACCGACCUUGGUCGUGUUCACUGCCGCCGCGGCCACGGAUCUGUUCAAGAACCACGACCUCGCCUUCGCCUCCCGCCCGCGCAGCGUCGGAGGGGAUAAGCUGAUGUAUGGGUGCAGCAACGUUUCGUUCGCGCCUUACGGCGAGAACUGGCGCCGGGGCAAAAAGAUCGCGGUGGUCCACCUCCUCUCCCCGCGGCGCGUGGAGUCGUUCGCGCCCGUGCGGGCCGCCGAGGUAGCCGCGCUCGUCGCACG